GAAUUUUCCGCAAUGGGCGAAAGCCUGACGCAGCAACACCGCGUGUGGGAUGAAGCUUUUCGGAGUGUAAACCACUGUCAGAGGGGACGAAACCUGACGGUACCCUCAAAGGAAGCAUCGGCUAACUACGUGCCAGCAGCCGCGGUAAGACGUAGGAUGCAAGCGUUGUCCGGAAUUACUGGGCGUAAAGGGCGUGUAGGCGGCCGAUCAAGUCGGGUGUGAAAGCCCUCGGCUCAACCGAGGAAUUGCACCCGAUACUGAUUGGCUAGAGUCCGGGAGGGGGUAGCGGAAUUCCCAGUGUAGCGGUGAAAUGCGUAGAUAUUGGGAAGAACACCAGUGGCGUAGGCGGCUACCUGGACCGGAACUGACGCUGAGGCGCGAAAGCCAGGGGAGCGAAAGGGAUUAGAUACCCCUGUAGUC
rnacentral:rRNA from 1 species